rnacentral:rRNA from 1 species
CGUAGGGACCAAGCGUUGUUCGGAUUUACUGGGCGUAAAGGGCGCGUAGGCGGCGUGGUAAGUCAGCUGUGAAAUCUCCGAGCUUAACUCGGAACGGUCAGCUGAUACUGCUGUGCUAGAGUACAGAAAGGGCAAUCGGAAUUCUUGGUGUAGCGGUGAAAUGCGUAGAUAUCAAGAGGAACACCUGAGGCGAAGGCGGGUUGCUAGGCUGAUACUGACGCUGAGGCGCGAAAGCUAGGGUAGCAAACGGGAUUAGAUACCCCGGUAGUCCUAGCCCUAAACGAUGAAUGCUUGGUGUCUGGAGUUUUAAAUCUCCGGGUGCCGUCGCUAACGCUUUUAGCAUUCCGCCUGGGGAGUACGCACGCAAGUGUG